rnacentral:lncRNA from 1 species
AAACAAAUGCCAAACUUUUUAUUAUAGAAUAUUCUCUAAGAUCAGUUUAAUUAUGUAUUUUAGGAUAUUGGUGCUGGAAAAGGCAAAUACUAUGCUGUCAAUUUUCCAAUGAGAGAUGGUAUAGAUGAUGAGUCAUAUGGGCAGAUAUUUAAGCCUAUUAUCUCAAAGGUGAUGGAGAUGUAUCAACCUAGUGCUGUGGUAUUACAGUGUGGUGCAGACUCAUUAUCUGGUGAUAGACUGGGUUGUUUCAAUCUAACAGUCAAAGGUCAUGCUAAAUGUGUAGAAGUUGUAAAAACUUUUAACUUACCAUUACUGAUGCUUGGAGGAGGUGGCUACACAAUCCGUAAUGUUGCUCGAUGUUGGACAUAUGAGACUGCAGUUGCCCUUGAUUGUGAGAUUCCCAAUGAGUUGCCAUAUAAUGAUUACUUUGAGUAUUUUGGACCAGACUUCAAACUGCAUAUUAGUCCUUCAAACAUGACAAACCAGAACACUCCAGA